GUGCUCACUUUGGCAGCAUAUUUACUAUAAUUGGAAUGAUGCAGAGAAGAUUAGCAUUGCCCCUGAGCAAGGAUAUCCUGCACUUUUGUGAAGCAUUCUAUAUUUUU